rnacentral:rRNA from 1 species
CUGAUCCAGCCAUGCCGCGUGAGUGAAGAAGGCCUUCGGGUUGUAAAGCUCUUUCGCAAGGAAAGAAAACUUAUCUACUAAUACUAGGUGAGGUUGACGGUACCUUGAUAAGAAGCACCGGCUAACUACGUGCCAGCAGCCGCGGUAAUACGUAGGGUGCGAGCGUUAAUCGGAAUUACUGGGCGUAAAGCGUGCGCAGGCGGUUUUGUAAGUCAGAUGUGAAAUCCCCGGGCUCAACCUGGGAACUGCGUUUGAAACUACAAGGCUAGAGUGUAGAAGAGGGGGGUAGAAUUCCACGUGUAGCAGUGAAAUGCGUAGAGAUGUGGAGGAAUACCGAUGGCGAAGGCAGCCCCCUGGGCUAACACUGACGCUCAUGCACGAAAGCGUGGGGAGCAAACAGGAUUAGAUACCCUGGUAGUCCACGCCCUAAACGAUGUCUACUAGUUGUUGGAGGAGUAAAAUCCUUUAGUAACGCAGCUAA